CUUGGCACAGCCCCCAGCCUGGCUGGGUAACUCCUAAGUGGUAAAGCUGGCCUAAUUAGUCUGUUUAAUCUUCUCCCAUAAAUCACUCCUACCCAUCCCCUGCAGACUAUCGGCAGCAUCUGAAGUCAUUAGUUAAUUUAAACCUGGGAGUUCACACGUUGGCUUAUCAGAGCCAUCUCCUUUCCCCGCUAAGCGCUUGCUCGGUGCAUCCCUGGCUGCUGCUAGAUCCGAUCUGCGCCCGCUUUGAAGCCGUGAUGGGCUGCCAGCAGGCGAGCAGUUUGCCCGAAUGCUGGAAGGAGAAGGCAGCUCCGAUGCUGCUGCAGCUUCCCUGGCUGCCAGGGGAAGUAAUAGAAUCUUAGAAUCAUCUGGGUUGGAAAAGAUCACCUGUAAGAUCAUCGAGUCAGGUCUUCAUGUGUUUGUUCAUGAAAUGAAAGACGGCUGGGUGAGCCUGCUUUCUACUCCUCUGGCCUGCCUUCUGCAGCCCACCGGGGAUCUUUCCGACUCGGGAUGAUGCUUCCCUUCACAGGCACCCAAACACUGCCUGAGUGGAGGACACAUCGGUGGGGACUGAUGUCCUGACAGAUGUUAAAGCCCUGGGUGUCAAGGCACGGGAAAAGGCGCUGGUACAACCCUGGGCACUCCCAGGCACUACAGACCGUGCUGGUACAGCACAGGGUGACGUGGGGCCCUGCCUGGGUGUGCUCGGGCUGUCCCCUGUCCCCAGGCUGCCGCUCCCCUUCUGCUGUGGCCGGAAGACAUGAGCUCCCGAUUAAAGGAUAUUCCAACCAGACGGAGCGGCUGCGGCAGCCGGGAGAAGGCGCAGCAGGAGGGGACGGGGACAGGACGCGUCAGAGACCAGAGGAGAAGCUAAUUUACGCUGGAAUGUAAAUACAGCAGCAGCACGCUGCUCCGCAGGGCGUGCCACCCCCCUCCUGGCUCUGGAACACGGGCUAGAGCUGCCCGGGAUGGCUCAGGUCCCCGCCGUGCCAGAACCUGCAUCUCACCUGGGCACUGUGCAGAGGUGAGGAGGAGGAGGGUCAGGGGCUGCUGCAGCAGCGCAGUGCCACUGCUGCUGCUCCUGCUGUUGAGGUACCACAGGUUACACACCCACCGCAGAGGGAUGGAGAAUCAGCCUUCCCUAAUAAUCCAAAGAAUCAAUAGCAGUGUCAUGGAUGUGCAGAACAACAGCUCUGAGUUGAGAGGGGAACUUCUCAGCAGGAUUAACUCUGAAACCUAGUGACAACACUUUAAGUAUCUGUGCUAUCUAUGUCCCUGCUGCUCAUUCUAGCAGAUAGUUCUUACUAAUGAGCUUUACUCAACAGCACUAGAUUUGUCUGCGAGAGCAAAUUCCAGGGAUCAAAAAAUAAGGUUUAAGAUGCAAAUAUUCUGUGAGAUAUCCACAUUUAAAUGUUUGGAGCUUUUUUGUUCCUUACUCCAGGGACAAUUUUUAAAGGAAGCAAGGAGAGAUCCUCUGGAAUGUGAGACAGAGAAAAAUUUUUAAAAGAAAAGACCAAAUAAUAUAAAAUCACAGUUUUGGUUUUGGUUGUUUGGGGGUUUUUUAGCUUAUAACCAUGGAAUUUGGAAAAGUUCCCUUCUGCUCACCCAGGGCAGUGUAAGCGCAGAUGUCCCCGCCCUGGGGAGCUGGUCGGGCUCAUCCAUUCCUCUCUGGUUAUAGAAUAUCACUGGGAAAGGCCAUGGGCAUGCUGAUGGGUGCCAGGACUGGUGGCACAGGGCGAACCCCAGCCAGGCUCCUCACUACCCAGGGCAGAGGAAGCUCAGCAGAUGAGUGGUCUGUGGCAGGUGACAAAGAGACUCAAGUAAGUCCCUAAAUCGUCCAACCCAUGCUGGUAGUGGGCUCCUCCUCUGUCCUGAGGUUGGACCCCAGUGCAAGGACCUGAUCUCAGACACAGAUGCUGGGAGAAUUCACACCCCAAGACAGGUUGUUUUUCAGUUUUCUUUAAUCUUCCACAUGGCUUUUUUUUUUUUCAUUUUGAGACAGGAGUACUAACUGCUAAGGAUGCAUAUGGAAUUUGAAUAUGAAUGAUAAGAACAGCUGUGUAUAUCUAUUAUGAAUGAACAUAAACAGAAAUGUAUAAACUGAGAUUUGGGGGCUUUUGGAAGAAUUAGUGCCUUUGUUCCUGGAUUUUUUUCCUAUCAAAGUUUGAACCAAAGCCCAUUAGCCUGGACUUUCCCGCAGCCGACCAAGCCAGGAGCUUCAUUUCGUCCUGGCUCUGAGCCAUGCUGAAUUCUCCUCAACAGCUCAGUGAGCCCUAAUCCUAACAAAUUUACCCAGAGAAGUGGGUCUCUUAUUACACAGUCUAAUUUGAAUGCUUUCCAAGGUUAAUUUCAGCUCCCUCUCCCUCUCCAAACACGCCUGCCCCUCCAGAGCCAGCUCCCCCCUUCCCCAGCUCCCCCCCGGCUCCCCGUUAGCGCCAGCCCGGGGGGAGCAGCCCCCUUCACCACCGAGAUGGUUUUUAAACGAGAAAAUAAUGGGAUGUGUGUCCCUGGGUCCGGACUCUGCCUGGAGGGUUUCUUAAUGCCGAGCGACUUCCUCCGCAAAUUAAUUGCAACUUUCGUUGGGCGAAAAUAGCCCUGGAAGCCCCUUCCCCACAGGCUCUUCCGCACGUGAUAUUGCUCAGUUCAUAAUCUGAUUCCUACGACUCCGUUCCUUCCUUCCUUCCUGUCCCCAGCGUGCCGGUGAGUGCCCACGAGGGGCCAGCAGGGUGACCCACCUGGCAGCCGUGCCAUGGCCGGGGAGCAUCGCUGCUGCCUGGCCAAGACGGCCCUGGCUCUUGCUUUGCAACAGACUGUGCAAAAAAACCUCAGCGUGGGGAAACUGAAACCUGGCCCAGUGCAGGGAGCAGCUGUCAGAUCCAUUAGGGAAGGGAUAGAGAAGGAACCAGCUAUGCCUGGUGGACGGCGAUUGCAGGAGAGGGGCGGUGGGGUGGCAGGGGUACACAGCAGGGGGCUAAAAGGGACAGAACAAGCAGCAGUGGGUUUAGACUGAAAGGGUCAAUUUAGAUUAAAUAUAAGGAGUGACUUUUUUUACAUUGGGGAUUGUAAAGCACUGGCACAGGCUGCCCAGAGAGGUGGUGAACACCCCACCCUGGGCUGGAUGAGGCUCUGACUACCUGAACUGGCUGAUGAUCCCCCUGCCCAUGGCAAUGGGGUUGGACUAAAUGGCAUUCAAAGGUCCAACCCAAACCAUUCUAUGAUUAUGUAAUAGGAAAGAUUAUGUGGAAAAAGUGCACAAAGGAGCCAGGAUCCCACCUCAUCCAACAGCCCACCUGGGUGUGGCCCCAGGGAUAAUUUCUGCUGGCUUUUACCUGCAAGAAGUAGAAACUUGCCACACCAGCUGGGCCUGGGGGGUUGUGCUGGGUCAUGGUAGGUGUGGAAUAGCAACUCUGCAGCCCUGGGACAGGGGUUUUCCACAUGUCCUCAGGCAAUGAGGUCCCAGGUGCAUGGGGCAGAGUGCUCCUGCCAUGGAGCUGAGAUUCACCCUGCUUACUCUCCUCUCCUUUCUUCACUUUCUUCUUCUUUAUACUCAUUUAAUGCUUUAAUAUUUGCUCACUCUGAGCAUCACAGGUAGUGCAAUAUUUCAUCACCCUGUCAGGAGAUGGGGCAGGGAAGGAGUUGGGGAUGUGCCCUGUGUCAUGCCAGGGUGGCUGAGCUGGGCUGGAGUGCCAGUGGGAUGAGAACAACACUGGGCUCUUCCUGUCAGUGCUUCUGUGAAGAUUUCUCUCUGAAGUGCCUCCACAGGUCACGUCUUCUGCUGUCACAUCCUGCUGCCAGGUAGCCUCCUGUGCCUGCUCCCUGUCCCUCGAAGCCUUGCUGCCCAGCAGUCACCUUGCUGAGCGAUACCCACGUCUGAUGGUUUUGCUCCAGGCACACGAGUUGCACGUGUCAAAGCUGAGCCACAUCUUAUCUCCUGGCUGUUCCUGCCUGCAAACCCUGGCUGUGGGGUGUGUGCAGUGCUUCCCCAGCACUGAGGGUUGUGGGGGAUUUAGGGUACCAGCUUCAGGGUGAGGGGCACCCUGGGCAGGUCUCUGGGGUGCAGGUUGGAAGGGCCAGCACAGACACGGCUCUAUCUGCCAGGAGGAUGCUGGUCAUUGCUUUAAGGUCAACCUUAAAUAAUGGGAAUAAUAAAAAUAAGGCUGCCUGGAGGAAAGGAGAGAGCAAACUGAAUUCUAAUGAGGUUGCAUGGACACAUCAGCAUGACCAUUACACGGAAAUAAUUUUAAAAAGGAAAAAAAGAGCAUCAAGUUUAGAUCAAAGGACUUGGGACACAGCAGCCAGGGCACAAUCCCACAAGAACAUCCUGGGAGAGGACAUCCCCACUGAGAUCCCAUAUCCAUGAGCUGCUCCUACCCUGUUGUGCUAGGAAAGGUCCAGGGCAACCCUUGACUACAGAGGGUGUGGGAAAAGAGCCCAGAGGAAUUAGGGAGAUGCUGCUUCAUUCAAGAUGGGGACUGGUAUCUUAUAGUCAAGCUUUACCGCAACUGCACACUGUGCCUGGUGUGAAGGGGCAGAACAUUUGCUCUUAUGGAUGGCAAAAACUUACCAAGUUGUGGUGGCAAACACUGAAAGAGGAAGUUUUAGAAGGGAAAUAAAACAUUAAUAUUUCAGGGCUUAAGGCAGUCCUCAGUGCAAAGGUAGGAAAGUAAUUAGUGAUGAAGAUGGGGAAAUAACCAAUAUUAAAUGGCAGUGGGGUGAGCACAGGUUCAAGGGGCCACAAGGAGGAGGAUGGGCAAGGGCUCUCCAGGAGAUGACAAGGAAUGAGCCUGGAGGCCCCCAGGAAUCCCCCUCAGCACAGCACCAAGGCCCAGCAGCACCGUAUUUCAGGGAGGGCUGUGCCUGCAAUAACCCUGCCCUCCUCCUCCUCACCUCGGCUCCGCUGGACACAGGCCAGGUGAAACGCUCCCCCGAGCACGGCGGGGACUGGUCCAACCCCGCACAGCUCCAAUUAUCCCUGGCUGGAGACUUUCCAGGAAUCCCAUCCCCUCUCCCUCCGCCGACCCUGCCUCCCCCAGCCUCCCCCCCUCAAAGCAAUUUGACUUUUAUAGUAAUAACUUCUGAACCCUGGACUGGGGCCGUGCCAAGGAAAGCAGCAGAAAACAAUGUGAUGGGCCUCGGCAGGCGCGGAAACUCCAGCGACCGAGACCAGCCCUAAAAUAACUUUUGAGCGAUGGUUAUUUAUUCUGGGAGAAAGUUCGUUCAUUCACAAUUUGGAGGGGAGAUAAACGAGGGCGGGCCGGGGCUGCACAGCGGCAGCACGCCGUGGCUGCGAAUGCAGGGCGCCUGCAGCGCCAGGGCAGCCGGCUCACCAUGGUCCUCCUGCCCAUGUCCUGCUGGAAAACCCUUCCUAGCGGUAUUUGGGUCCAUCUGAAAGCCGUGGGCUCGGGUGGAGGAGUCCAGCUCAAGGCUGGGGGUCUGCAUGUGCCACCAGGUGAAGGGGGCUGCAGUUUGUGUGUUUGUCCCUGGCUGUUUCAGCUUCCCUGGGCAUGCUGUUCAGCGUGGUGGCUGUGCCACAUGCCACUGGCUUGCACACCUGCACCUGGGCUCUGCACACUGAAGUCAUCGUUGUCCAAUGGGCAGCAGGUGGUGCAGGAAAACUCCAGGCAGGAACAGACAGCAUCCUGCUGCCAGUUCUGUUGGUAUCACUGUGUGCACAGCAGCUGCCAGCCAACAUCAGCUGGGCAAGCAACAAGUGGUGCAGCCUCAGUAAUUCUGCAGCUCUGAGCUGCCACAGCUUCCCUGCAAUGCACAGGAGCUGAACUAGAGCUCUGUUGGGGGAUUUUUUUCAUUCUUCAUUUUGGGAAAAAGUUUUUUUCUGGCAACACUGUGGUCUAAACCAGGACCAGCUCCCAGAGGAGCCUUGAGCAGCCUGGGCAACGCUGGGCACUUCUGAAUCAGGGACACUCCAAAGCAGGCAGGGAGCCAGCCAGCCCUCAGCACUGCCUCAUGUCUGCUUGUGCAAGUGUUUUAUGGUCCCUGUCACCAUGGGCUGGGCACUCGCUGGGAGCUGAAGUGCAGUGGUGACUCUGCCAGACAAGGCUCAGGCUGGGCUCCCCUGGCAGGUUUGGAAAACAAAUGCUGGGGAGACCUGGUCUCUGUCUGCUGGGUGACAAGGGUGACAGAGACCUUGCAGUGUGACCCUGUGCGCAGCCAGGCAGGAGAGGGACAGACAGUGACUUGACUGGAUGUGAGGGCCUUACCAGCUUUGUGUGCAGAUCAUCUCCAAGAAUGAUGCACAUCCCAGACUACCUGCCCACGAGCAUCUCAGGGCAAGGGCUGAUCCUGGUCCAUUGUGGCAUGAUGCCGCAGUGACAAGGGACAGCAUUGCCAUCAUCACCUACCCUGCACAUCAGAUCUUGAAGAGUGCACUGUUCUGAAGAGGGAUAUGCCACCAUAUCCCUUCCCACCAAGAGAACAACUUGCCUGGGCCACCCCUCUCCACCUACAGCCUGCAGGCUGGGGGACCUUGUUGAGUGCCACCAAAUAUUUUUGCUUUGGGAUGACAUGUGAACACAUUGGAUCUGGGGGCCUGGAGUUGCAGAAGGGGAUGAUUCAGUGCUGCCCUUUGCAGAGUGAGGAGGGCACCACUUUGUGUUUAGUAACACAGUCACUGUUAUUAGAUACACUGUCACCCGGCCACCCUCGCGUGGGGACAGCAGGGUUAACAGGGGGCACACACAGGGCAGGAGCAGCCCUUGGCAGUGCCGGCCAGCACACACGGCUUCCUUCGUGGCACGGUGCCCGCGACGGUGACACUGGCCCUGCUGGGACACAUCCCUCAUCCUGCCAGGCAGGAAAACUCCGGCUCCAUGCUCCUCCUCGCCUCUCCACAUCCCCUGCCCUCUGCCCCGCCACCGCUGUGGACAGCCCUGUGCCUGCCAGAUGACUUCCAGCCUCGCUGCUCUUCGGGCUGUCUGAGCAGCUCGUGAUCUUGGCAGGCAGCUCAGUCCUACCAGUCAUCAUUACAAUGAUUAUUUGUGUCUUCCCAGCUCAAAAGGGCUUUCCUCUUACCUCGCCUCUGGCUGGCCUCGAGCCAGGUCGGGCUGUGGAUGGAGAAAAGGGAGAGGGCAGCAUCCUGCGCUGUCAGAGCAGGGGAGUGCAGUGGGAUGCAGGAGAAGAAGGGGCAGAGGGAAGGACAGAUCCUGUCCCUCCUCCUGAAUGUCAGAUUGGAAAAUCAACACCCUCUUGGUUAAUUCAUUAGCUUUGAUUAGCAACUCUGAAGUUCGGACCAGCUAAUGGGCUCCCUCCCCCGGUUAAUCUCCAAGAGGAGUUCAGCAAGGUUAUCUGAACCACGAAUGGCAAGGGAAGGAUGGGGAUAAGUGCAAUUGAAUUAGGAUGCUGUUAAAUGAAGAAGCCAAACUGAGACAGAACACGGCCCUUGCAAAAUGUCCCCAUGGCUAAAACAUGGCGUAGAGCAUCAUUAAAGCACGGGGCAGAACACAGCACUGUGGUUGCAAUCUGGGCUGGGGCAGCAAGUGCCUGUGGACACCAGCCCAGCCUGGGGCAUGUUUGCCAGCUCCAUCCCAUGCAGAUCCCUUCACCAACACCUUCAUCUCCGUAUGUGAGCCGCAUCUUCCUCCAAGUGGGGGUUCCUCUGCAGCCUGGAUUUUGUUGUUGAUUAAAUUAGCUCAGCAGUAACCUGUUUGUGAUGAUGAUGUGAGGUAGCGACCUUCAGUGUUUUCAUUAAAAUACACAUGUAUAUAUUUGUUUUCUGCGGUUAUGAAUGUAAUUCCACAAUCCACUGAGGAGCCGGUAAUUUUCUGGCUGAGGUGGGAAGUUGCUGACAUCUUGUGAUACAUGACAAGAUUGAUUGUAUUUGCUUACCCUUUAACCUAAUAAAGAAAAAUAAUGUUCCUUAGU